rnacentral:rRNA from 1 species
UACGAAGGGGGCUAGCGUUGCUCGGAAUCACUGGGCGUAAAGCGCACGUAGGCGGAUUGCUAAGUCAGGGGUGAAAUCCUGGAGCUCAACUCCAGAACUGCCCUUGAUACUGGCGGUCUCGAGUCCGGGAGAGGUGAGUGGAACUGCGAGUGUAGAGGUGAAAUUCGUAGAUAUUAGGAAGAACACCAGUGGCGAAGGCGGCUCACUGGCCCGGUACUGACGCUGAGGUGCGAAAGCGUGGGGAGCAAACAGG